rnacentral:rRNA from 1 species
AUUGAACGCUGGCGGCAUGCCUUACACAUGCAAGUCGAACGGCAGCACGGGAGCAAUCCUGGUGGCGAGUGGCGAACGGGUGAGUAAUAUAUCGGAACGUGCCCAGUCGUGGGGGAUAACGCAGCGAAAGCUGUGCUAAUACCGCAUACGAUCUAUGGAUGAAAGCGGGGGAUCGCAAGACCUCGCGCGAUUGGAGCGGCCGAUAUCAGAUUAGCUAGUUGGUGAGGUAAAGGCUCACCAAGGCGACGAUCUGUAGCUGGUCUGAGAGGACGACCAGCCACACUGGAACUGAGACACGGUCCAGACUCCUACGGGAGGCAGCAGUGGGGAAUUUUGGACAAUGGGCGAAAGCCUGAUCCAGCAAUGCCGCGUGCAGGAUGAAGGCCUUCGGGUUGUAAACUGCUUUUGUACGGAACGAAACGGUGAGCUCUAAUACAGUUUGCUAAUGACGGUUCCGUAAGAAUAAGCACCGGCUAACUACGUGCCAGCAGCCGCCGUAA